UCAUGGAGCCAUGAAGAUGUUGAUAGUUGGAUAUCAGGAACAGAUGAUGUCAAUCACUAAUGGGUAAGCCACAUCUGCCUCAUGGAAACAUUGGACAAAGAGAUUAUUCACAUCCCAGGCAGGAUGGAGCUGGAUAGUAUCACAGUUGACCAGGGGAAACUAAAAUCAUGGGAAACAAAACCAUGGAUAAGGCAGUACUACUGUAUACAGUUGGCCCUCCAUAGCCAUGCACUCUGCAUCAGUGGAUUCAAUCAGCCAUGGAUAAAAAAAUGUUUGAAAAGUUUAAAAGAAUGGUUGUUUCUGUACUGAACAGGUUAGGCGUUCAAGCUGUGUUAAAUCACAUCCCUGAUGUUUAUGUGGUCAGGAUAUGUGCCCUUGAGUGACCACGCAGAAGUGAGUGGAACUUUCUACCAUGCUUUGUAUGCUAAGACUUCCAUCAACGAGUGAUUUUCUUGCUUUAAAUUUAAUGCUGACUCCAUUCAAGCAGAAAAUAGAUUUGAAGACAAUGAAAAAUGUGCCACUU